rnacentral:sRNA from 1 species
CCCUUUGUACACACCGCCCGUCGCUACUACCGAUUGAAUGGCUCAGUGAGGCGUUCGGACUGGCUCGGGGAGGUUGGCAACGACCACCCCAAGCCGGAAAGUUCGUCAAACUCGGUCAUUUAGAGGAAGUAAAAGUCGUAACAAGGUCUCCGUAGGUGAACCUGCGGAGGGAUCAUUACACAAUAAAAUACGAAGGCCGUUCGCGGCUGGACUAUUUAUUACCCUUGUCUUUUGCGCACUUGUUGUUUCCUGGGCGGGUUCGCCCGCCACCAGGACCACCAUAUAAACCUUUUUUAUGCAGUUGCAAUCAGCGUCAGUACAACAAAUGUAAAUCAUUUACAACUUUCAACAACGGAUCUCUUGGUUCUGGCAUCGAUGAAGAACGCAGCGAAAUGCGAUACGUAGUGUGAAUUGCAGAAUUCCGUGAAUCAUCGAAUCUUUGAACGCACAUUGCGCCCUUUGGUAUUCCAAAGGGCAUGCCUGUUCGAGCGUCAUUUGUACCCUCAAGCUUUGCUUGGUGUUGGGCGUUUUUGUCUUUGGUUUGCCCAAAGACUCGCCUUAAAACGAUUGGCAGCCGGCCUACUGGUUUCGCAGCGCAGCACAUUUUUGCGCUUGCAAUCAGCAAAAGAGGACGGCAAUCCAUCAAGACUCCUUCUCACGUUGACCUCGGAUCAG